UACAGAGGGGGCAAGCGUUGUUCGGAAUUACUGGGCGUAAAGGGCGCGUAGGUGGCCUUCUAAGUUGAACGUGAAAUCCCUGGGCUCAACCCAGGAACUGCGUCCAAGACUGGGAGGCUUGAAUCCGGGAGAGGGAUGCGGAAUUCCGGGUGUAGCGGUGAAAUGCGUAGAUAUCGGGAGGAACACCAGUGGCGAAGGCGGCUUCCUGGCCUGUUCUUGACGCUGAGGCGCGAAAGCUAGGGGAGCAAACGGG
rnacentral:rRNA from 1 species